GAGUAUUCAUGGUUAGAGUCUCAGUCUCUAUUACGGGCCCUAGUACACUUCAGGAACUCAAAAGCUUUGCUGAUAUAAUGCAAGGUGAUAAAAAAGUAGAAAGACUUGGGAUAAUCUUGAUUUCUGAAGGCAUCAAACGGGAAUUAGAGAAAGCAGCAGGAAAAACGAAGGCCUUUUUAAGUUCCAUGAGAACUACGGUUUGCAAGACUGGUCAAAACAGUACAAUGCAAGCGGCAAGAAUCAGGAAGUGCACAGAAACAAGAAGCUCGGUGCACACUGGGAUCAGGCAAGCAUCUGGGAGAAGACUGUAGCAAGACUGGAUCCUGAGAAAUAUACAGAGUUCAGAGGCUCCAUGGCUACACUUUGGGCAUGUAUGUCAUUACAGGAAUGAAAAAAAGAUGAUGGCCAAAUGCUGUAUUAAAAUCCCAUUAGAAAUGCCGGGAGAAAUUUAUGGCCCCAAUCUCUUUUAUCUGACAGCAGUUCCCAUGUGAUCCAUCAGGCUCUGAACAUGAAUUUUAAUGGGCUCAGAACCACUUCUCUACCCUGAGGUCACAGGCUGUCAGAGUGAAUCUUCCACAAACUGAUUGGAACCUGAAGAAUUUGCUCUGUCAAGAGAGAGUGUUUCAAUUGAAUAUUGCAACUGAAGACAUUCACUCUGCGUUGAUCACCUAUGGAGUGAUCAAAUUUCAACCCUUUGAAGUUUCCUAAAUGAAAGAGGCACUCUGAAUUCAAAGGCUGUUUGAAUGAACUGACUGCUUCAGCACUGUCUUGUAGAUAUAGUCCAUUCAAAUAAAAGACAAAUAUCUGACUGAAUUUUGUUAGCACGUUAAGACAUGUAUUAUAAAAAGGUUUAAGAAGAAAAUAAUGGCCACAAUUCUUCAGAAAACAUGUGAACUAAUGUGACAAAACACUGUGGUGUUGCAAACUCAAGUGCUGCUCUGGCCAAGUCACCUCGCUGAAAUCUCCACUUCCACUUGUGCAACCUACCAAGCCACUCUCUACACAGCUGCCAGAGUGAUUACAAAAACAACGCGGGAUUAUGCUACCCCUGCUUAUCUAAAAUUUGUCAAAAUGCCCGUUACACUUUGAAUAAAAUACAGAUUCCUCUCAGAUCUCAUUUCUUAUCAUGUCUUUCUCAAUCAUUAUGUUCCAGCCUCACUGACCUUCUUUCUGUUCCUGUAAAAUAUUCCUGCCUCAAGGGCGCAGGCCUACGACCUGCAGUUCUCUUUUUCCCACAUGUGACCAGGCUCUCUCUUAGCCAUCAGGUCUCAAAUAAGCUCUUUCCGUUCUGUCUAGGCAUCUUAUCAAAAUCAACCUGUGUAUUAUUAUUCAUUUAUCACAUAAUCUUGUUUUAUUUUCCUCAUAGCACUCUCACUUUCUGAA
rnacentral:lncRNA from 1 species